rnacentral:lncRNA from 1 species
UGGGGAGCGUCCCUCCUGGGAUGGCUGCCUCCCUCUCCUCAUUGCAGGGAGGUGGGUGACCCAUCUGCCCCUGACCUGGGUCACCUCCCUCAUCUCAGGAGGCUUUGCAUCCCUACUGUCCCCGGCCUCUGGGAAGACCAGGGUGCCUCGGGGCCCCUUGCCAGGCUGGGAGAGGCUGAUUGCCCGGCGCCUGGGCCUUUGCCCCUCUUGGCCACAAAACCACUGCUCCCAUAGCCUCCUGCUCUGCUGGCCCACGCCGCACCAUUGUUUGGCUUCAAACCGGUUCUGGAAGGGUGGUUCGUCCAGUGUCCUAGGGUGGCAGAGUCACCCAUCAGGUGUCCCAGAGGAGGCGGGCACCUGGGGACAGGAGGGCCAGAAGGCACAGUGGGGAAGAAGUCCCUUCUGAGACGGAGUCAGGCAGAGCUGGUGUCCCCAGAGACGCUCGAGGAGCCGCGGGCACCUCCCAAGGCCGCUGACCUGCUAGAGGACUGCAGCCUGGGCAUGGGGACCGGCCACACCCUUCCCCUUUGCCCCCAUCCCACUCCUCAGGAGACAGAGGCGUCCUUCCACCCCUGCCCUCACGAGGGCCCCGGGGUCUGAGGCCCGGCAGUGCUCACCCAUUAGGUCACUGUCCCUUUGAAAGACCGAUGCAGAGAGUACCAAUCAGCGACAUGAGGCACAAGGGCUUCUGUCCCUGCCCCUCUCUGGCCAGGUGCCUCUGCUCUGACCAGAAGCCCUACCCACCCCGGGCAACUCAGGGAGACCAUGAAAACAUUUUAUAAAGCCCUCAGAGUGGUGGCCCUCACCUGUCAUCCUAGCACUCUGGAGGCUGAGGCGGGAGGAUCACUGGGAGUUGGAGGCCAGCCUGAAUUGCAUACUGAGACCCUGAAUCCAAAAAAUUAAAAAAUAAAAUUAAAAAAGCGUUGGGGAUGUAGCUCAGGAUGAAUACAUAGUACUGAAAAAGAAAGGAAGGAAGGAAGGAGGGAAGGAAGGAAGGAAGAAAGGAAGGAAGGAAGGAAGGAAAGAAAGAAGGAAGGAAGAAGCCUUACUCUCAAAGUGGCUGUUGCCACUUCCAGAAAAGCCCUUCCACAUAAGUCCUUAGCCCCCAAAAGCCCACCACUGGCACUGAACUGUGGGACCCAGGGGCCGUUUCCCCAGAGGACAGGUCAGUCCUGGGGUGAAAGCCUGGGAGCCCCCGUUCAAUGUCCUGGACACCCUGGCCAGUGACCCGGGACCAGGCCUGGUGUCUGUGUACCCAGAGGCUGGGGUGGGGCAGGCGCGAGCCCGUGGGACCACAAAACAGAGGAGCAGUCCGGGGGUCCUGGGGCCCUAGGAGCCCAGCUGAGGCCCCCCCAUGCCCACCCACUGUUCCUCUUUCCUGGACUCAGUGACUUGGGGUGGCCUCACCCUCUGCCUCAGUUGUUCCCUCCGUAAAAUGGGCACAGAGCUCUCCGACAAAAUCUCACUACGAAGCCCAGGCUGGUCUGGAACUCUCAGUGAUUCUCCCACCUCAGCCUCCUGAAUGCUAAGAUGACAGAUUUCUGUUGGACAUGGGCUCUGCGUAGAUCUGCACUGGACAGCCAAAGUUGAAGCAGCUGGGAGUUGUCAGCCUGCAGCUGGGGAGGGGACCACCCCGCUUAUCUGAGAGGGAGAAAAUGCCAAGCGCUUCAGUGUAGGCGGCAGGUAGCGACCCUUCCUCCCCCCACGCAGAACACAGAAUCCAGGGUGUGACUAUUUCCGAGCUUGCAAUGUAUGGGGGCCAAAAAUGAAAACAAUAAAACAGCGUCCCCUACAACCAGGCGUGUGUAUGAGCACGGAGGUGGCACCAAACUGAUACGAUUGCACGUAGUAACACGCUUAACUGAUGCGAAAACCCCCAAAUUGUUGGAAGAUCAGUACCUAAUUCAUCUUUCGACAUUGGCUUUUGCAAAUCCAGAGGUGGAGGGGGCGGGAAGCUCCCAGUCCCUCUGAAAUCUGGCCUCGGGCGAUAACUGCAUUGCACAAAACACUUCCCCACCUCUGCCUCCUAACUGAGAAAAAG